rnacentral:lncRNA from 1 species
UACAGCUUCCCCUACAAUAUCUCUUGAGUAAAGUGGGAACUGGAGUGUCAUAGAAGAGUGAGGAGGCGAGAAGAGAAAGGGCAGGAGAACAUGAUGGAUAUGGGAGGUCAGAUUGAAGGAAGGAAAGAGAGGCGGGGCAAAGAAAGAUAAACCUUGAUAGAGGGAGUCACUAGGGGGUUAGUGAGAAACCUGAGACUAGAGAAAUUCCCAUCAAUCAACAAGGAUGAACCCAGCUAAGAGUCUAAGGAAUAGUGGAGAGGGUACUUUCCUUGUGCUUCUUCUGUAAUCAGAUUGAUGACUACCUUUAUUGUCAUAAAAGAACCUUCAAGCAGGAACUGAUGGAAGCAGAUGCAAAGAUCCACAGACAGGGGCCUGUCCUGCAACUCACUUUGAGGACCAGGCUGUCUUAAACUCACAGAGAUCUGCCUUCCUCUGCCUCCUGAGUGCUGGGAUUAAAGACAUGCACCACCACUGUCUGGUGAAAGCUGGGCUGGCUGGUCAAAGGUGAAGUCUCAUGGCCUGGCAACAACAUGGAAACUUCCUCCCUCUCCAGAAAAUCUUCCUGCUUCUACCUGCUGUUGUCUGGAGAAUGUCCUUGAGUCUGGAGGACAGACCUUAUCUGAAAGUUGUCUCUGACCCAGAUCCCUGAUUUAUCCUUAACUGGAAACCUGGCACGGAUUUCUGUUAGAAGACUUGUACUAGGAGCUCUGCUAUAGGUUUCUGAUAUCAGCCUACCACUUGUUGCAAAUGAAGUCUUGUCCUUAGGCUCCUCAGUCCUAUAUAUUCCUUAUGUUAUAGAAUAAAGUUGAGA